rnacentral:lncRNA from 1 species
GUACAUAGUUUUUAAGAGCUUACAGCAGUGAUGUAAACUGGUUGUUAACUUGUUUAGCUGAAAACUUCUGUUUAUUGCUUAAACUUUGUGUUUUACAGAUCUGUUGGUUAUGGGGAUUCCCCUUAUUGCCGUACUUGCCAUCAUUCCUGGUAUCAAUUGAAUUUUCUAGAUCCUAUCAACGAUAAACUGUCACCUUGAUGGAGAAAGUUGAGUCCGCCGUUUACUUCACAAAAUGUUCAGUUCCUGUCUUUUUAUGCCUCUAGGAUUUUUGCAAAUUGAGGGGACACAGUAUAGAUGGUAAUGUAAAAACUUGCUCCUGCUUGUCACCAAAGAUUUCUAGAACCGGAAAUAAUUGAGGUUGUGCAUUAGAAGUUGACAAUUUUAUCGAUUGGUUUUAAAAGUUGAGGACGUUAUAUGGGUUGCAUUCAGUAUUUUUUAUGUAUUAAGUGAAGCUCUGCAUGCUUACCCAAAAAAAAAUAUGACAUUUGAAACUAUGCAUUUUGUUGCAGUAGAAAUACUAAGUACGCAAAACACAAGAUGGGAAUUGGGAAUUACUCCAUUACAUUUAGUGACUAAGCUGCAAGGUAUAUAAGUACCAAAAAAGGAAAUCUUGUAGGCGUGUGGUUUUAAGUCAACCGUCCUCGUAGCGUGAAAGACAUUUGAACACCGGGGUUUGUAUUUUACUUAGUUCCGAUGAACAUGACAGAUGAAGGCAUCAACUGACAGAAGUUCACAUCUUUGGUCUCAGGGGUUGGUUGAAUUGGAUGGUUUUUAGAACAUCUCUCAAACCUAAUUUUGUGCUAGAUAUACGAUACGAAGAUGAAAACAAGGAACUAAAUUGAAUUGUUGGAACUAGGGGACUGGAAGCUUACUAAUUUUGUCUACCACAAUUCAGUGUUCGACUGAUUGAUAUGAGUAUGGUUGUGGCAUAUGAGUCUGAUUACCUUAUACCCAAUCUGGAUCUUCUGAUUUUUAUGAUAUUGACGAAAAAAAAAAGAAGCUUGUUGUUAGCCAAAAAAGUGACACAUUCUAGCUUUUCAUGCAUGGAAGAUAGAAAUUGUAUUAUUUCAAAUUUGACACAGAGGGAGCGUUCAGGAUGUGUAUCUUCUAACUUCUGAAUGCGUAUCUAAAUUUGAAAACAUACUGAAAUAGUAGAUUUAACUUUUUAUGAAAUUAUGUUUUGACCUAGGGAUGGCAAUGAGCGGAUGUUUCAAAUUUUAUUUUGUACUUUGCUAAGGACAUCUCAUCCCAUCCUUGAUUCCCGGUAGAGGAUUAAAUUGAUUAUUCAUCCCCUACGAUGACUAAAUUUUUUCACCAGUAGUGUUAUAUUUUUUAUUUCUUUUUUCGAACAAUUACAAAUUAUUUUUUUUCUAUUGUAAAAUAAAGAAAGAGGAACUAGGAUAAUAAACAAUAAAUUUUCACUUGGUUAUUUAAUAAAUAUAACAUUUCAAGUUCUUAAAAAUUAAAGUUAAAGCCAUAGUAAAGUAAAAAUAAGGCAAACAAAGAGAUUACUAGCAAAUAGAUUAGAUUAUGAUUAGAAACUACAAAUACUCAGCAGGGUUUAGAGUCGGGGAGGGUUAAAGGGACGGAGACAUGUGAAACUACUUCCGCCCCAUCUUCAUAUUUUUUUCCCUUCACUCACCUCAUUCUCGUAAAGUAUGUGAAUUUUGUUGUCUAAUCUGGGCGGAUAUUGGGUCAAGAUAGAGCAGAGUUUAUGCCAUCUUAUUUGGACCCAUAUCUACACUUGAUACUCGUACUCGAGUCCUAUAACAUUGAUUGGUGCAAUCUUCGACAUGAUAAAAUAAUGGGUAGGGUUUUGAAAAGUUACUCGUGAAUGGUGAUCAUUUCACGUUAUUCAAUUCCAAAAUAGGCUGCAUAUUCAAAAUAACUGCAUUUUCUAGUUAUAAAUUUUGAGCUUUCAACAUGCGCGUCGUACGUAGAGCUAAGCUUGAAAAAAUUACAUAUAUAAUGCCUUCAAGCUUAGGUUUGAGGGUUUGGAUUGUUAUGCAUGUUACAAUUUCUUUGGCUACGAACAGUUGCGAGGAUAAUUGUUAGAGAUUUUUAAAAUAUAAUGGUGUUAUUUUAAAAUUCUUUUAAAAUGCUCAUUUUUUAUGUGGGUUUUUUUCCAUAUGAUUAGAAUAAGAAAAAAAUUUCUUGUUUCUAUUAUGAAACAUAUUUUAAUAUUAAAUAUGAUUGGAUCGAAGAGUGGUAUGACAUGGAGCAGGAGUGCGAUGGUUAGGAAGUAGUUUGCGAUCAGCCGUUGAUUCCCUAACCAGUAUGCGUCGGAGGGAUAUAAUUCAAUCCAUUAAGGUUGUGACCGACGGAUUGAUCCAACGGUUCACAACUUGUUGGUUUGUGAUUGAAGGGGUGCGUUAAGUAACCCUAUAAAUAGACCACUCAAUAUAUAUAUAUAUCUGACUUGAAUAGAAAAGAUUAUUUUUAUCUGUUUUGACAAUUUGUUCGUCUUUAAAUAUUCUGACUAUUUAUGUUUGUGUAACCCGAACAGUUAAGAACAUAAGAGUUCAAAAAUCGUUUAUUGAGGGCAAAUUUGCUGUGUAAAACCCGUUGACAAUAUUCGGUGGACAAAUAUUGUCCCCUUAGGAAUGAAGAGCGUCCAUCAAUUAAAAUUUCCCAAACAAUAAUAAUAGAAGUUACCACGUUCAAAGUAAUUUAUCACUACAGCAUUUUGGUCGGUCGUCUCUUAAUCUGUUGUUCGGACACUCGGAUCCAGCUCCUCGUUUCGUCCUAUUCCUAGGCAGCUUCUGUUUAACCUUGUCAGAGCAGCUUCUAGGUUUAUCAGCUGUAACACGAUUCAGCGUACAUUCACAAUAUCCACCAUGCUUGUUCAGAACACAUAAGACCAAAUUUCGCCCCCCCCCCCCCCCCCCCCCCCCCCCCCCCCCCCCCCCCCCCCCCCCCCCCCCCCCCCCCUUACCUCUGUUGGGCAACUUGUUAUGGUGAAUAAACCGCUAAAAAACAGGUCAAAACUGUCCCUCAUGUGCUUCUUCUGCCAAUAAUCCCGUGUUAGACGUUCUCUAUCCGGGGAAUGUAUAUAGUUAGAGUUGUGGUUUUGUUUGGUGCAGAUUGGACAUUACCAGGUUAACCAGGUGUUCUGAAAGGCUUGGUUGUCUAUGGCGUAGACUCGAUGUUUUUCUGAUUAAGGCCCUCAAAACAAGGAAGGAACAAACGACAGUUAGAUCCAUUUCCUUUACCUUCACAAAAUUAUUAUCCAAACACAGCCUUAGGUGGAGAAAAACAUUGUUAUACUGCCAAUUGUGUGGGUGAGAAAUUGGGGCUCUGGCAGCCAUUUUAUCGUGCUCCCCAAGUCUUUUCCAGGCAUUUUGCAACCCUGAAUCAACAACUAACUCAUAUUAUGAACAAGAAGGAAAAUCAUAAAAAAUUACAAACAUUAUGUUGUAUCGUGUACGAACAUCCGUCGUAUAUUUUAUAAGAGUGUUAUCAUGAUAGUUACACAUUGUGGUAAUUUGUUAUGCAUCGUUAGUGGUUUCAGUUAAGGUUCCUGAAUCAAUUUUAUAUAUCACUUUUCAGAAUUUUGAAAAUAAAAACAUUCAUCAUUUUUCAUAUCUUUUAGUUUUUUAACGAUUUUUUUCCAAUCCUUAUACAUCUUGUCUAAUGGUCUUCUUAAUUUUUUUUUACCAAAUAGAAAACAAUUUGAAAUUAUCAACCAAACAUAUUUUGAAAUCUUUUUUAGUCUCCUUGAUUAACCUGCUUGCUGAUUCAAGACCAAAGUGUGAAUUUCGUAGUAUUUACGGAUAGAAUGUGAAACAGUGAAAUGUAUUUUCUGAUUAUAAAAUGAGAAGGAGACUGACUUAGCUGAACAAGAAUAAUUGUUGUAAACUGUAGUUAAAUAAAGUCAGUUAAUUGGAGUCCUAGUAGUAUCUAGCUCAGCUUCGCAUUUGGCAACGGAUAAAGGAUGUGUUUCCACAUCUACCCCUCUCUCUCUCUGGAUUUUGAUUAAUAAUGUUUAUACUAAACUCGAUUUGGGGAUUGUGUGCCUACACACGUAAUUUUGAGUCUAAUGUGGGACCCAGCCAUUUGUCAUGGAUAUGAUCAGAAUUGUUCAGUUCAUUGAGUAGAUCAACAUUACAAAAAUAAUCAAGUGGGUUGGACAUUGGUAGCCAUAUGAUCGGUUGCAUUGUGAUAUAUUAUCGCGACCAUCGGCCUAAUUUUUUUACACGAGUUACCUACUCGUCUGGCAUUAUAAGAUGAAGGAUCCAGAUUAGUAUGAUACAGUUAUAACCUAUUCCUCUAUGUUUCUACUACAGUACUUACCCUCACUUCCAAGAUUUGAAUAAAAGAUGAGCAACACGCUUCAGCCCUUAGUCUGCCGCUGUCAUACAUAAAAUUAAGGUCUUUCCCACCCAUCUUUCCACUUCUUGUCAAAACAUUGGUGAGUGCAUAGUAAAAGGGUCUUACUCUUGGGGCAGUACUCUUCCAAUUACACACAUGACAUUACACUAGAGAGAGUAGAGAGAGAGAGAGCGAGAGAGAGAGGGGGGAAGAGAGAGUAGAGAGAGUGACUUGCAUACUUGCAAUAGGAGUUGUUUUGGGUGUUCCUUGACUGAGAGCACAUCCCAAAGAGUUGUUGGGGUGUUUCAGAGUGGAAUGGCAUGGAUUUCCCACUUGUGAUAGGGAUAGAUUUGAGUUGCAAAGUCAUUAUCACAUCAUUAUCUGCUUCAAAAAACUCUCCAUGUCCCUAACAAUUUAAAUCAAAGUACAAUCUCUGAGAUGGGCAUAGAGGUAUAGAAUGAAGGAGAGAUAGAUUUAUAAAUUAUACACAUUUUUUUUUAGACGCCCUGUUUUUUAAAGAAUUAUAAUUUUUCACCCCGUGAGAGCAGUGAUCGAACAGGACUCCCACUUGAAUUGGCCUAGUGGAAUUUCAUUUUAAGUAUUGGAACCCAUCACAGGUGUGGGUAUUGUUACUCCCUUGUCAAGUAGGGACCGUUGGCUGGAGGAUAGCGGAGGGGAUAAAAAUUUUUUCCCUGGAUUAUAACUCCUUCUAUCCGAGCGUUUGGAGAUUUUAAAACGCUCCCGGAUAACUUUCCCCUAGUGGGCAGGAUAGAGGCGUGUGGUAAUUUUUGAGUGACCAUCACCCUAACCAAAAGUUAUCCGGGCGGAUAGAGACGGGAUACUUAAUAUAUAUAACAUAUUUUCCCAUUUUCUUUUCUCAUCUCCAUCCUUAUCCAACUCAUUCUAAAAAGUAUCCAAAUAAAGUUAAAAGUAUCCCCUCCAAAAAUUAUCCCCUCUAAAACUUAUUCAUGAUGUUAUCAAGCACCAAACCACCUUUAGAGGUCGUUUGGCUACCGGAUUGGAGAGGAAUAACUUUUUUCCCGAAUUAAUUUUUCUCCACGGCGUUUGAGCUGACGGAUAUGGAGGGGCGGAUAGAUAGAUGGAUAUAAUUGUGACCCAUAGGUGGAUUAGAGGAGGCACUUUUUGGGUGACCUAGACCCUAACUAAACGUUAUCCACGGAGAGAGAAGUUGUAAUAAACCCGACUCAUAAUUAUAUUUAUUAAAAAAAAAUAGAAAUUAUUGGGGUAAAUUAAAAUAUUAAAACUUUUUGAGAUAAAAUUAAAAAGAAGUAGUUUAGAUAAUAAUAAUUAUUUAAAAAUUGAAGGGGCUUAAUUAUAAUUUUAUAAUAAAGUUGUUUAAAGUGUAAUUUUCCAAGUGAUUUGACAGCAUGCGGGAACUCACACUGGCCGCCUCUUUCUUUGUUUGUUUUUUGGCUUACAAAGUUUAUAAAUUAAGAGAUAGUGAGACACGGAGAGAACAGAGGACUUGAGAAAGAAAAGAUUGGGAAACUAAAGAGUUAUAACGAGUGAUCAAAUAUGAUCAUGUGAGAUCAGACAUUAAACUCAACGUGAAUGAUGUCGGGAUUGGGUGAAAUUGUCUGAUGAUCGUGGGAGUCAGAUCUUCAUAUCUAGUGGUCUCAAUUUAAUUUGAGGUAAACAGAAGGUAGUAUAAAUAUGCUUUCUAAAAAACUCCGGAGUUAUUUCUUAAAUUAUCUGAAUUUGUACUCUGUUUGAGCAAGUGGCUAUCUAUGAAAUCUAUGAGAUUUAAUUGCAAUCCAUAACAUUAUUGGAAUCGUGAGGUGUAUUGAUAAAGUGUUCUGGUAUUGAAUAGUACGGAUUGGGUGAGCCUGAUGCAAAUAACCCUAGCACCGGGAAAGCAGAAAGGCCUAGGUGAGGUGGGCGAGGCGGGGCCACCGUCACGUACCAGGAAAGACUGUGUUGUAUUGUAUGAGGUCUUUGAUGGAAAUUGAGUCAUUGAACUGUGUCUUUUAAUUUGUGGUGAGCCCAUUAUUGAUUCGCUGACAUUAUUCCGUCAUAUUGUAUACUUCCCUGUUUAAAAUUUAUUUUUCAGGAGGACGAGGGAGUCGAGUUUAUAGAGUAGUAGUACGAGAUGGGUCGGCGAGAACGACUAGAAGUUAAAAUAUUUUUUUAUUAAUUUAUUUUGAGGUAUAUGUAGAAAUAAAAAUAAAAUAUUUAAGGGCUUUUAGCGCUAGAUUUGUAAUUUGGAGACAAGAUGCGAACUAUUACGAAUGGGCCCGGGACUGGGUCUUGCUCCAUAAGUGGUGGGGGAUAAGAAAAAAACUUAUAUAAGAGAAACAAAGAUAUAAUUUUUUAUAGAAGAGAGAGAGAGAAUAAAAAUAUAUUUUUUAAUAUCUAAUAUUUUAUUAUUUUGUUUCUCUCUCUAUAUUUUGUUCGGAUCACUACCAAAUUUAUAAACUCAUUCUAAAAAGUAUCCAAAACAAAGGGUAAAAGGUAUAAACCUGUUUCUAAAAAAGUUAUCCAUCUUUUAAAAGUGAUCCCGCUCUUUAUAAAAGUUAUCCAUCUCUUUUAAAAGGAUCCACUUCAAAAAGUUAUCCAUCUUUUAAAAAAGUUAUCCCCCUUCAUAUCCUUUUUCAGCCAAACGAAUGCAUUUAGGUGAAUAAAAAUAACACUCCCCAAGAAAAAUGGGGAUGUCCCUUCCUCUUUGGUGGCACUCCAAACAAUGUGAUUUUAGCAAGGAGAUCAUUCUACAAGAAAUUAAGUGAUUAAACAUCGUAGGUUUUAGCUACACAAAAUAGACAGUCUACUUUCAAAAUCAAGGCCAAAUAUGUCACAUCAUUAUAGACUAAGUUCUUCAACCAAACCAAUUUAUUGAUCAAAAAAAUAAAUCCGAGGGGGGUCCGCCAAUCCUAGAUCUCUAGCUAACACUAGGUCCCCGUUUGAAAAGUGUGAUAGCGAUUGUAGGAUUAGUAACGAGGUGAGAUUAGAAUUGAGAUCUGAUAAUGAGUAGGGAUAGUAAUGAGGCAUAAUCCAAACCGGGUGUGAUUUGCACGGGGAUGAGACAGGGGGGAUAGUAAAUAUCCAGGGCAUGUGAUCAAUAAUAUCCAAAAAAAUUUAUAAAAAAAUUUCAUGAAAUUCAUACUUACCCUUUAAUUACACAAAUAUACCAAAUAUAAGGGUAAUUGUUAGUGUAGGGUGAUAUUGUUAAUUACUAUAAUCCCGUGGUAUUAACCAAGACCACCAUUUAGGAGUCUUAGAAAAGUCCGACGACUAUUAAUCCGAAAUUUAUGAAACAAAAAUAAACAAGGAUUAGGGGCAACGGGAUUGGUAAUCCCAAUCCCUUUAGCACGGUACAAAAAGGGCCAUUAAUCGUUAAUUCAAACAAUAAGGGAUUUUAAAAAACACCACAAUAACAGGUUGAAAUAUACUUACGAAUAGAUUGACUACUCUAAAUUGGACCCACGACCUUAAAGAAUUUGACUAUAAUCGCGGUACACACAUCUAUAUAGAUAGAUAGAGUAUAUGUAUGUAUAUACCUGUGAAUGAGACACCAGAUCCGUUAGAGGAGGUGGAGUGUCGGAAUCGGAAGUAGCUGUGAUGGUUGUGGCCCGUUUCACCCGGUUGGAGAGGAAACUGCCCAAAGGGCCCAAACCUAUGAUACUAUCUCAGGGUCUUGAUGAGGAGGAGAAGAGACAUGGUGAGAGAGAGAGAGAGAGAGAGAGAGAUGGGUGAGACAGAAGUUUGUGCUCACAGAGUACCAAAAACUGGGGAAUGAUGAAUGACGAAUUCUCUCACUAUUUCAGUAGCCGUGCUUGACUGGAUUCAUUUUCGAGGGAUAUGUUUUGCAAAAAUUCAAAAUGUACCCCUCACCUUGUUAACCUAAAUUUCACUUUGUCCCACCCUAUACUCUUGUGGUUUCGGUUAAAGUAUAAAUGUUGCCCUUCUGUACCACAUGUCUUGCAAUUGAGGACCAUUGGAUCGUUUUGGUGAGGCCACAUGCCUAUUUCGGUACACUUAAUUAAAUAGAUGCUAAGAAAAGAGUAAGUUAACUUGACAGAAAAUAUAAAAAUAAACUGAUACAAUUGAAAGUAGAGGGUGAACGUCAAUUUUGUUAAAAGUGCAAAAUGUAAUUUAACCUACUUUUUUGUACUUCUUUGGACGGCUAUAUGAUUGGAUUUUUCAAAGUUUUCUUUUGCAGUUGGUGCUUUCAUUGAUGCUGUUUUGGCAAAUGUACAGUGUCCCCUGUGGACAUAUGCCCCACAACAAUAGUAAAAUAAAUAUGAGUAUAACGGCUAAUGUGGAGCAAAUACCGAGCUCUUUGGAAUUCACGAGAUUGUUACUUUGCCUACGGACCGAUGGAGUGGCUGGGCCCCAUGGACCAACACCCAUUGAUCACUUCGCCAAUGUAUGUGCAAAUCAAUCUCGGCUCGCCAGUGGACGAGGUCUCCACCUCACCAUAUACCAAUCCACGAGGCUUCGCCAUUCAUCGAAGGACUCCUCUUACGGUUAUUUCUCUACGUGGCCAAAGGUCCCACCUUUCCAAAGGGAUCUCCCUCUUUAUAAGAAAAAUGUCUCUGAGAGACUCCGCUCUAUUUACGGCGCUUAUAACCCAGCGGAUUACUCUCCAGAUGACAAUCUCCUAUAUUCUCUCCGGCAUCUUAUGGAUAUACUCCCCAAACAUAGCUGCCCAAAAAUUCUCUCGCUGAAUAUUAUAUACGGAUUCUACAGUCCACUAUAUAAGGCGCUCCCCUACGCUAAUAUACCGUCACAAUGCAUUUCUCUUGUACAGAGAAACUCUGUUUUAUGCUUUGCAUUAUAUCGUCGCCAAGGCAAAUGAGCAAUAUUGCCGUUGGAUUGCUCGCGCCCCAAUUUUACCACAACAGCGGCGUCUUUGUCUUUUCUUUUAAUGGAAAAAAUCACGUAAACGUGUGUUGGUCCACCUAAUCAAAUUGUUCAGUGGUUCAGUAUGUACUGGAUUGGUGACGUGACUGGUGCACGCCCUUCAUCACGUGAAUUUCAGCCAGGUCCUGCCCCGUCAUCAACCUUCUCCAUCCCUAAUGUCAGUUACCCGUUUGCACAACUCCCAACCCAAGUCCUUCAAGAACUCCGAAUUCAAGCAUCGCCUCCCAGCUUCCCUUGCCCGGAUUGGUCACAGAUUGUGAAAAAAAAGGGACCACCGACAUAUAAAUUGAAGGGAUUUCGCCAUUCCUUUUGCAGCCAGGGCCUCCAGUCGUGUCCCCUCCAUGAAAAACAACCGCCAUUGCUAUUAUUGAUGGUUUCGUUGCUGACAGUGAAGGUGGUGGUUGGAUUUGGGAUGGUCUACUAAAAUGCCAUGGAACACGGGAGCCCAUCUGGAGCACAUGGUGGUUUAUGGUUCGCCAGGAACCGUUGUGGAAAAACCACUUUUCCCCUGGGAAUCCAUUUCCGGUGGACCGGACGGAUGAUCGCGAUGCCAACUUCUCAAAGGAGAGCGAAGCAAAUGUCUCGUGCAUGAAUUGGCAAGUGAGAUCGAGGUGAAGACCUGUUGUGGUGAUUCCAGGGUCGUUGAUCUCCAUGUGGUUGAACAGCUUGAUGAUGGGUGGGACUGAGAGGAGAUGCCAGCGGAGGCUUUGGCCUAACUGGUGGUUGAUUAGCAUUGGAAGAUUCGAGCAGCCUAAUGGCAGGUACAUGUCCACUACAAUUAACCAAACACACGGCCACGUUGUGUUGA